rnacentral:rRNA from 1 species
AUACGUAGGUGACAAGCGUUAUCCGGAUUUACUGGGCGUAAAGGGCGUGUAGGCGGUCUUGCAAGUCAGAAGUGAAAUUCCUGAGCUCAACUCGGGCGCUGCUUCUGAAACUGCAGGACUUGAGUGCUGGAGGGGAUAGCGGAAUUCCUAGUGGAGCGGUAAAAUGCGCAGAUAUUAGGAAGAACACCGGUGGCGAAGGCGGCUAUCUGGACAGUAACUGACGCUGAGGCGCGAAAGCGUGGGGAGCAAACAGGAUUAGAUACCCUGGUAGUCCACGCUGUAAACGAUGAAUACUAGGUGUGGGGGGACUGACCCCCUCCGUGCCGCAGUUAACACAAUAAGUAUUCCACCUGGGGAGUACGAUCGCAAGAUUGAAACUCAAAUGAAUUGGCGGGG